rnacentral:sRNA from 1 species
UGUAUAUGAAGCCUGACGAGGAUGAGAACCUCCGGGGGCAAGAGGUUCGACUCGAGCGAAGCGAGAGAACGUUGCGUCAGCAACGGCCCGCAGGGCGAGCCACGCAGUGGCGAGUCAUCCUCUAUCACCGACCA